rnacentral:tRNA from 1 species
CGGGGCGUAGCUCAGCCUGGCUAGAGCGCUACGUUCGGGACGUAGAGGCCGAAGGUUCAAAUCCUUUCGCCCCGA